CCCUGUAGCUCAGUUGGUAGAGCAUGGUGUUUGUAACGCCAGGGUUGUGGGUUUGAUUCCCACAGGGG
rnacentral:tRNA from 1 species